rnacentral:misc_RNA from 1 species
CCUACAAGCGCUUUCGCUCUCUAAAACACAGUUCAAAAGCACAACUUUUUCUGUUUUCCUUCUCUAUAAACUUCGAAAACCCUAAGGUUUCCACUGGAUCCGUUAAUGGCAGAAGAACCUGCAUCGCCGUCUCCAGCGGCACAAUCGCAGCAGCAGCUAUCACAGGCUGCGCCGCUUGGCUCCUCAGUGAUCCCGAUAGUGAACAAGUUGCAGGACAUAUUCGCGCAGCUCGGGAGCCAGUCGACGAUUGAGCUGCCGCAGGUGGCGGUGGUAGGGAGCCAGAGCAGCGGGAAAUCUAGCGUGCUGGAAGCUCUUGUCGGCAGGGAUUUCUUGCCCCGGGGAAACUAUAUUUGCCCCCGGCGGCCUCUGGUUUUGCAGCUGCUGCAGACUAAGAG